UAGAGCACCUGGGCUCUCAAUUGAUUUGGUUCCAAGGACCCCUUUUGGGGGAGAGAAUUUUGCAUCACUUGUCAAACAUUUCUUCACAUUCAUCAGCCUGCUGCCUGACAAAUAAGUGAAACUAAGGAGCAGUCGGAAUGGUUCUUUAUGACCUAAGUGAAUUCUUUCAAGUGAUGAUGGUAUCGUAUGACACUAAUCCUAGAAUUCGCCAGCAGAAAAACAGUGUUGUUCUGGGAGACGUGCAGGAAUCCCAUCACAGCCACUCACAGCCCAUCCCAGACGUGUGUCAUCCUCACUCUCCUUCUGAUAGCAGUCCAGACUCUCUGA